AGAGCGAACGCUGGCGGCAUGCUUAACACAUGCAAGUCGAGCGGAAAGGCCCUUCGGGGUACUCGAGCGGCGAACGGGUGAGUAACACGUGAGCAACCUGCCCUUAGCUCUGGGAUAGCUCCGGGAAACCGGAAUUAAUACCGGAUACGACCUAGGCCGACAUCGGCCAUGGUGGAAAGUUUUUCGGCUAGGGAUGGACUCGCGGCCUAUCAGCUAGUUGGUGGGGUAAAGGCCUACCAAGGCGACGACGGGUA
rnacentral:rRNA from 1 species